rnacentral:rasiRNA from 1 species
CGCAAACCCAAAAAGACAAUACACGAC